UAAACAGCCCUAGUGAUACAAGCCCCCUGUUUAACCACAGAACAGGUACAGGAUGGGCAAUGGCCAUGCAAGCUUCCUCCAUAUACUGUCCUGCCUAUGUGCCAUAAUCCCAAUCUAGAACAUGUUCUAAUGAACUGAGCCUGAUCCAGCUUUUUUACUGGUUACUUGU
rnacentral:sRNA from 1 species